rnacentral:rRNA from 1 species
GCUGGCGGCGUGCCUAUUACAUGCGAGUCGAGCGAAUGGAUUAAGAGCUUGCUCUUAUGAAGUUAGCGGCGGACGGGUGAGUAACACGUGGGUAACCUGCCCAUAAGACUGGGAUAACUCCGGGAAACCGGGGCUAAUACCGGAUAACAUUUUGAACCGCAUGGUUCGAAAUUGAAAGGCGGCUUCGGCUGUCACUUAUGGAUGGACCCGCGUCGCAUUAGCUAGUUGGUGAGGUAACGGCUCACCAAGGCAACGAUGCGUAGCCGACCUGAGAGGGUGAUCGGCCACACUGGGACUGAGACACGGCCCAGACUCCUACGGGAGGCAGCAGUAGGGAAUCUUCCGCAAUGGACGAAAGUCUGACGGAGCAACGCCGCGUGAGUGAUGAAGGCUUUCGGGUCGUAAAACUCUGU